CUUUUAUAGAUAUAAUUGUAAAUAUCACCUGCUCAAUGAAUAUUUAAAUAGCAGCGAAAGCUCUAAGGUAGCAUAAUCAUUAGCCUCUUAAUUGGGGGAUAGUAUGAAAGGUAGUACAAAUAAGGUCAAGUUUUUAGUUUAAUAUUUGAAUUUAGUUGAUCAGUUAAAAUACUGAUCUUUGAUUUAGGGACAAGAAGACCCUAUAAAGUUUGACUUCUUAUUCUUGUUAUCAAGAUAAUAAAGUUUUAUUGGGGCAAUGCUGUAAGAUGGGAUCUUGUGGUUAAAAACUAUUAGGAAAAUUUUGAUGAGCUGCUAAUAGCACUAUGAGAAUUAAUUACUUUAGGGAUAACAGCAUAAUUAAGAUUUUAAAGUUCAAAUUUACAAUCUUGAUUGUGACCUCGAUGUUGGAUCAAUUUACUCAAUGGUGUAGUAGCUAUUGUCAGUAAGUCUGUUCGACUUUUAAUAUAUUACG
rnacentral:rRNA from 1 species